ACGGAAGGCAGCAGUCGGGAAUAUUGCGCAAUGGAGGAAACUCUGACGCAGUGACGCCGCGUAUGGGAAGAAGGUUUUCGGAUUGUAAACCAUUGUCGUUAGGGAAGAAAAAUGACAGUACCUAAGGAGGAAGCACCGGCUAACUAUGUGCCAGCAGCCGCGGUAAUACAUAGGGUGCAAGCGUUAUCCGGAUUUAUUGGGUGUAAAGGGUGCGUAGACGGGAAUUUAAGUUGGUUGUGAAAUCCCUCGGCUCAACUGAGGAACUGCAACCAAAACUGGAUUUCUUGAGUGUUGGAGAGGAAAGUGGAAUUCCUAGUGUAGCGGUGAAAUGCGUAGAUAUUAGGAGGAACACCAGUGGCGAAGGCGGCUUUCUGGACUGUAACUGACACUGAGGCUCGAAAGCGUGGGGAGCAAACAGGAUUAGAUACCCUGGUA
rnacentral:rRNA from 1 species